UCAUCUUUCUUUCCUCUUUUCCACGCAUAAGCCAUCCAUUUCUCCACUUCCCUUUAGCUGCCAUUUCCCUUGAGAAAAACUGAUACGAGCAGCUCGGCCCAAUUCAAAGGCCAGACUAGAGAUGGGCCUAGUUUCUCUCAAGGCCCAAUCACAAAAUCCAAAUCCAAGCAGUUAAAGUCAAGCCUCAACUUAUUCGUUCAACACUUUAUCACAAAAAAAUUUGAAAAGAAGAGUUGAAGCUUCAAGACGAUGGAUUUUGGAACAAUGAUGUAUUAGAAGGGAUUAAUUUUAUUAGUGGGCCUAAAAUCUCAAUCAAUGAUGACAAGCCAAUGUGGAGAAUGUUAACAAGCUUAGGCAUUUCACUUCAAAGACCCUAAUCAAUCCCACAAGCUUAGGCGUUUCAUAUUGGGUUCGGGUUUUAGGCUUAAUUUUUAUUAUACAUGAGCCCAAUAUUGUGUUUAUUAUCUCUUAUUAUUUUUUAUUACGAAUUUUUUUAUAAAUAUGAAGUAUUUUAAGUUAUUAGGAGUUUUAUGUUAAUAAGAAAGUUUUGUUUAAAACUACUUCUUGUUUAGAUUAAUUAGAGUUUUAGUAUACUUUAGAAUUUUAUUUGGAUGUACUUAGCUAGCCUAUAUAAAGGCUUCUUCAUUGUUCAUUAAAAAAACAAUUUUUUCCAUUAAUAAAGUUUUCAACACUAGGACAUUAUUUCUUUGAGCAAGAAUUCUUUCUUGUGAUUUUAGAAGUAGUUUUAUUCUCGAUUUUCUUUAAGGAGUCUUAGGAAUUCAUUCUUCACCCUUCAAUUUGCCAAGGAUUAUUUGUUAGAGGGUUGAUUAGAGUCAUUAAUUGAGUUUGUUGGGAUUUAUAUCUUAAAGGGUUCAAUUGGACAUUUGUCCUUCUAUCUAUCAUAUCCAUCGGUUUAUUCAAUCCAUAUUCCACUUUUAAAUUUCGUCUAUUUUUUUUCUUUGUUCUUAAAUUUCAUCUUUUACUAUUUUUGACUUUUUUAUUACUAAAUUUAUUUAUUUUUUCUUUUCAGAUCAGAUCCAAAUCUUUCCUUUUCGAGUCGAACAACUUGAAUUCAAUCCGCUUCCACCUUCAUUCUGUAUCAUUUGUUAUUAGAUUCG
rnacentral:lncRNA from 1 species